CUGGAGCCCCGCCGGGAGGGCGCAGCCGCCGGCCGUGUGCGCCUCGGGGCUGCGCGCCCCGCGUCUCGCCGCUCCCGCAGCUACGCUACAGCAGCUCUGAACUCGCAGGUCCGGCUUCUCUCAAACCAUACCGAGGUUUUCAUCUCGCUCUACAUAACCUAUGGGACGUAAAUGCUUUUAAUUUAGGAUAGUGUCAUUUUUGCUUAUUUCACCAUUGAGGGUGCAAAUCCUGAAGCUGCAGAAAAGCAUCCUCACUUCUGCACCAGGACUUCUCUCCAAGAACACCUCACUCCACAUUGGUGUCAAAUAAACCAGUGUAUGUUGCAUGGACAGCUGUGAUUGUGUUCCAGAGCCUUAUAGCAAAAUAGGAAGAGAGUUGAUCACACAGGAUUACCUGUGAGUUUUCCCAUUGUUAGGAAUAUAUGUGGUGCUGUCUUGUGAAUGCGAGCUCGAGCUGCAGCUUUACUGUAGACAGACCAUGCAGAUGGUUUCUUCUCCCCUUCUACUGGCAUCUGCUUCCACAAAAUUCAUAGAAAGACAAACAUAUUUAAGACUUUCAUUCCUCUUUCAGAUUUGUUUUUAUUAAUCAGUUGGGCCAGAGUUUAUGGAUGGAGAGGGAAAGAAGUGAGGGAAAGUCACAAACAUGGUCACAGAAGACUUUGUUCCUUAGGAAAUUAGUAAAAAAACAUGCACGUGAAAGUGCAGAUUAAACAGCCUCUGUUGUUUUGGUUUUUUUUCCACCUGCUCACCAAUACAGAAAUUUAAUUCUUCUAUGACCUUGAACAAGUCAUUCUGCCACAGAAAAAUAAUUAAGUCAGUCAGGAAAGGUCCUUCUUUCCCUCCCUGGUCCCUGAGGAUUCUUUAAUUUCAAUUGCCGAGCAGAAGCUUCUUUUUUCUAUGUGAUUUUUCAGAAUCCAAGGUAAUACAGCCUUGAUUUUGUUUGCAGCUUCUAAAUACUAGAGUGAUCCAAUCAUAACAUGGUAUUAAAAAAGUAAACUACUAGCAAAUGAUGGCCUUUAACUAAUAAAUAGCAAAAUACAGAUAAAACCUCAACUCUAAUCUUUUUAAUCCAUAUAUCAUUGGUCUUUUAAUAAGAUGAUCUCCAAAUGCAAGCUUUUUGUCUGGUAACCAAAAGAUAAAAAUUAUAUGAUAUCUAUAUCAUGUCUGUGAUAUCUAUACCUUCUUACUCUAAUUAUGUUUAAAGACUUGGGCUUUAUAAAAGCACAGUAAAAGUUAUGAGAUUAGAAGACAUCCAAAGCUGCAUAUCAAUAUUUGGCUUAUUUGGAGACCAAUCCGACAUUUUUAUAUAAUUUUCAGAAUCUGAAUUUGAAGACAUGACAAACUAAAACAGCAAUUCUCACUUGUGGCUCUCAGGAACAUCAUAUGUAGUCACCAGGUACAAAUAAACAAUGACACAAUUUAACUUCAAUUGUACUGUCACACACUGAG